UCGAGGAUCUUCGGCAAUGGGCGCAAGCCUGACCGAGCGACGCCGCGUGUGCGAAGAAGGCCUUCGGGUUGUAAAGCACUGUCGAGGGGGAGGAAGCCGCAAGGUUGACCGACCCCUGGAGGAAGCACGGGCUAAGUUCGUGCCAGCAGCCGCGGUAAGACGAACCGUGCGAACGUUGUUCGGAUUCACUGGGCUUAAAGGGCGCGUAGGCGGGUCACCAAGUCCGGGGUGAAAUCUUUCGGCUCAACCGGAAAAGGGCCUUGGAUACUGGUGAUCUCGAGGGGGGUAGGGGCGUGUGGAACUUCCGGUGGAGCGGUGAAAUGCGUAGAUAUCGGAAGGAACGCCGGUGGCGAAAGCGACGCGCUGGACCCCUUCUGACGCUGAGGCGCGAAAGCCAGGGGAGCAAACGGGAUUAGAUACCCCCGUAGUCC
rnacentral:rRNA from 1 species